GAACGCNGGCGACGUGGAUAAGGCAUGCAAGUCGAACGGUUGUAGCAAUACAACAGUGGCGAACGGGUUAGUAACACGUAGAUAUCAACCCUUUACUCGGGCAUAACCUGGAGAAAUCUAGGCUAAUUCCCGAUAGUCCGGAAACGGUAAAGAUUUUUCGGUAAAGGAUGAGUCUGCGUCCUAUCAGCUAGUUGGUGAGGUAAUGGCUCACCAAGGCAAUGACGGGUAGGCGGAGUGAGAGCUUGACCGCCAACAAUGGCACUGAGACACGGGCCAUACUCCUACGGGAGGCAGCAGUCGAGAAUAUUUGACAAUGGGCGAAAGCCUGAUCAAGCGACGUCGCGUGUGGGAUUAAGAUCUUCGGAUUGUAAACCACUUUUCUAGGGGAAGAACUUUGACUGUACCCUAGGAAUAAGGGGUGACUAAACUCGUGCCAGCAGUAGCGGUAAUACGAGUGCCCCAAGCGUUAUCCGGAUUUAUUGGGCGUAAAGGGUCUGUAGGUGGUUUGUUAAGUUUCUCGUUAAAGCUCCAGGGCUUAACCUUGGAAAAGCGGGAAAAACUGGCAAACUAGAGGAUGUUAGAGGCUGAUGGAACACUUGGUGAAGGGGUGGAAUCCGUUGAUAUCAAGUGGAACACCGAAAGCGAAAGCAAUCAGCUGGGACAGUCCUGACACUGAAAGACGAAAGCGUGGGGAGAGAAAAGGAUUAGAUACCCUUGUAUUCCACGCCUUAAACGAUGAAUACUAGCUAUUGCAAGUGUCGACCCUUGCAGUGGCGAAGCUAACGCGUUAAGUAUUCCGCCUGGGAAGUACGGCCGCAAGGCUAA
rnacentral:rRNA from 1 species